GACGGAGGAUGCAAGCGUUAUCCGGAAUGAUUGGGCGUAAAGCGUCCGCAGGUGGCAGUUCAAGUCUGCUGUCAAAGACCGGGGCUUAACUUCGGAAAGGCAGUGGAAACUGAACAGCUAGAGUAUGGUAGGGGCAGAGGGAAUUCCUGGUGUAGCGGUGAAAUGCGUAGAGAUCAGGAAGAACAUCGGUGGCGAAGGCGCUCUGCUGGACCAUAACUGACACUCAGGGACGAGAGCUAGGGGAGCGAAUGGG
rnacentral:rRNA from 1 species